GGGACAACAGUUGGAAACGACUGCUAAUACCGCAUAAUCCCUGAGGGGGAAAGAUUUAUCGCUUUAAGAUUGGCCCGCGGAAGAUUAGGUAGUUGGUGGGGUAAAGGCCUACCAAGCCGACGAUCUAUAGCUGGUCUGAGAGGACGAACAGCCACAUUGGAACUGAGACACGGUCCAGACUCCUACGGGAGGCAGCAGUGAGGAAUAUUGGGCAAUGGAGGAAACUCUGACCCAGCCAUGCCGCGUGAGUGAAGAAGGUUUUCGAAUUGUAAAGCUCUUUCGGAUGGGACGAUGAUGACGGUACCAUCUAAAGAAGCCCCGGCAAACUUCGUGCCAGCAGCCGCGGUAAUACGAAGGGGGCAAGCGUUGUUCGGAAUUACUGGGCGUAAAGGGUGUGUAGGCGGAUUUGUAAGAUAGUGGUGAAAUACCUGAGCUCAACUUAGGAAUUGCCAUUAUAACUAUAGAUCUGGAGUGACAGAGAGGAUAUUGGAAUACCCAGUGUAGAGGUGAAAUUCGUAGAUAUUGGGUAGAACACCAGUGGCGAAGGCGAGUAUCUGGCUGUCAACUGGCGCUGAGGCACGAAAGCAUGGGGAUCAAACAGGAUUAGAUACCCUGGUAGUCCAUGCUGUAAACGAUGAAUGCUAGUUGUCGGCAAAAGCCGGUGACGCAG
rnacentral:rRNA from 1 species